UUUUUAUCAAAUAGUGGCUGCGUUGAGCAGCAUUGGAGCAUGUCAAUUCAUUGAAUUGAGCCACACAUUUUUGAAUCAAUACACUUGAACAUUAAAGUGUGAUACAACACCAUCUAACUAAAAAUGAGCAGGGAUUAAAAUGUGAAAAAUGGCAUUGGAGACGAAGGGACAAAUCAAGUAACCAAGAUAUAACAUAAAGAUCACCAUGUUCAGGAUAGGAUCUACUCCAACACUUAUGGGAACGCGUGUAUCAAAACGACGACGAAUCCUCCUCCUCCUCCAAAGGAUGCCAAGUAUCAUGAAAAUAGCAAAAGAUGAUAGAACUCCAACUAUUAUAUAAGCGUGUAUAUUCUUUUUGCUUCCGGUUGAACAAAUUUUGAAAUCUGCACAGGAGAAAAAUAGAAAUUUGAGGAACAAAAAUCAUAUAAGUGAAAGAUAUAUCUAUUUUUCUUUAAA
rnacentral:lncRNA from 1 species